UAAGAAACUACAGAUUUUUCAGUAUUCAGUUGCUUAACUCUCAAGUUUAAAUUGAAGAACAAAAUGGUUGAAAGUAUGUGACACUUUCUGAUGGAGUAUAAACCUUUGUAUUCUUUUUUUAAAGUUUUGUUAGUUAAGCACUAAAUAUAACUCACUUGUAAUGUAUUUUUUUCUGUCAACUUUCAUUUAACACUCCAGUCCAGUUGGUGGCAGUAAUGCGCUUUCAUAGUCGGUCAAGCAUCUGCCAUUAAACUCCAGGAUGAAGAUUUGCACUGGUGGUAACGAGUGCUGACUGCCUACACCCAACAUGAACAAAAAUACCCGUGCCGUGUGUGAAAUUGUGGGAAAAGUCCUAUUUCACGGAGUUACCUUUUCAGUAUUGUUUUGAUAUUAAGCAAUGAUCCGGCGGAAAACAACAGAUGACACCGCGGCGGUCCAACAAGACCGAACUCACGACCUGAAAAAUGGCCAAGCCUUACCAGCCAGACCUCAGACCACGGUGCCAAGGAGUUCUUACGGAGUCCACCAGGACGAAGAGAAAUUCAUACAGCAAGGCAGAGUGUGGAACGCAGUAAAGAUCUACAAAAUGGCGGACGGAGGACGGAUCUGAGGACGAAGUCAUGAAGCCGACUCCACAGAAUGAGAGUCACAUUUGUGUCCAUCAGACUCUUCAGAAACGUUCUGAUGUCCGUGAUGAGGACAGAGAUGCAACUGUGUCUGCAUCCAGGACCUACUGCCAGUCAUCCAGAUGUAGCUAAAGAAAGAAGCAGGUAAGAUUUAUUACUAAUCUAGAGAUGUCACAAUUCCUUUAAUGAUUAAAGUACUGUGAUUUAUUAAAAUCCAUCAAAGCAAAUUAUCUGCCUCAGAGUUUGUUGAACU